UACGUAGGGGGCUAGCGUUGUCCGGAAUCAUUGGGCGUAAAGCGCGCGUAGGCGGCCAGAUAAGUCCGGUGUGAAAGUCACAGGCUCAACCUUUGAAUGCCGCUGGAAACUGUCUGGCUAGAGUCCGGAAGGGGCGAGUGGAAUUCCUGGUGUAGCGGUAAAAUGCGCAGAUAUCAGGAGGAACACCAAUGGCGAAGGCAGCUCGCUGGGACGGUACUGACGCUGAUGCGCGAAAGCGUGGGGAGCAAACAGG
rnacentral:rRNA from 1 species